UAUUUGGUUGCCGAUGAUGGAGUUUAGUUGAGCUGAAUAUCUAUGAUUUCAAUCAACAUUUCGUCACUACCACUGAGGCAACCUUUAG